ensembl:rRNA 5S_rRNA 5S ribosomal RNA
GAUUAUGGCCAUACCAUCAUGAAUUCACCUGAUCUGAUUUUGGAACCUAAGCAGGGCUGGGCCUGGUUAGUACUAGGAUGAGGGACUACCUGGGACUGCUGGGUGCUGUAGGUG